GAGUGAAGAAGGCCUUUGGGUUGUAAAGCUCUUUCGUCGAGGAAGAAAAUGACUGUACUCGAAUAAGAAGGUCCGGCUAACUUCGUGCCGGCAGCCGCGGUAAUACGAAGGGACCUAACGUAGUUCGGAAUUACUGGGCUUAAAGAGCUCGUAGGUGGUUAAUAAAGUUGGUGGUGAGAUCCCAAGGCUUAACCUUGGAACUGCCACCAAAACUUUUUGACUCGAGUAUGAUAGAGGUAAGUGGAAUUUCUAGUGUAAAGGUGAAAUUCGUAAAUAUUAGAAAGAACACCAAUUGCGAAGGGAACUUUCUGGAUCAUUACUGACACUGAGGAGCGAAAGCAUGGGUAGCGAAGAGGAUUAAAUACCCUCGUAGUCCAUGCCGUAAACGAUGUGUGCUAGACGUUGGAAAUU
rnacentral:rRNA from 1 species